UUGACGGAGAAUGACAAUAUUUGGGUUGUGUGGUAACUAUUAUGAAUCUACACUCCUCUCAAAGUAUGCUUUGUAACUAUUAUGAAUUAUGAAUCUACGUCUUUCUCUUUUAAUCACUUCUAUGUGUUAUGUUGAGCAAACAUGCUUUGAUUUUUGAUUGAGCCUUCAAUAAAUCUGUUGACGAUUCAAGUUUACGUGAUAGUUUGUCUGAAUUUGAUUAUUUGUGCCUAAAUAGCACAAUGAUAGUUGGACAGAUGCAUUGUCUACCAAGUUUUUGAGGUUGAGUAAAUGAAAGAAGAAAAUGUGUCAUGGAUAGUGUUCUUAUGAGUCGGAAAGUGACAUAUUGGACACUGCAGGACAGAAUAUCCUACAGCCGCUAUCAUGACCGGACCUAGUCCAAGGCAAGUGAAACUAGAGCUUUAGACCUCAACUUUUUGAGCUUUUAGAGUACGCCUCCAAUAUUUUUUUAUGAUAUAUUAAGUUAUGGUUCUGCUAAUUUGACAAUGAAUUAUCAGUGGCAUGGUGAAGAUAGUGUAUCCAUAGGAGGAGGUAGUACUAUUUCACCCAAAGACAAAAGGCAUGAACAUGUCACGAAUUAGAUAUGCCAUUUGAAAGAAUACAUGAGCAGAUAAUGAGAUCCCGCUACAGUUACAUGCUCACCUAUCAUGAUGUUCUUGUGAGUAGUGUUUUGUGACAGGUAGAAUUAUCCUUUUCAAAACCAUAUUAGAAACAUAAACAUGUUAUGCAGUUGCUGCUGCUGCUGCAUGUUAUCGUGUAUAUGACAGCCUUCAGUUCAGUUUAUUGGUUGUGAUCAUAGAUGCUAUAUACUAUUCAAAAUAGU
rnacentral:lncRNA from 1 species